rnacentral:rRNA from 1 species
UGGGAAUCUUGCGCAAUGGGCGAAAGCCUGACGCAGCCAUGCCGCGUGAAUGAUGAAGGUCUUAGGAUUGUAAAAUUCUUUCACCGGGGACGAUAAUGACGGUACCCGGAGAAGAAGCCCCGGCUAACUUCGUGCCAGCAGCCGCGGUAAUACGAAGGGGGCUAGCGUUGCUCGGAAUUACUGGGCGUAAAGGGAGCGUAGGCGGACAUUUAAGUCAGGGGUGAAAUCCCGGGGCUCAACCUCGGAAUUGCCUUUGAUACUGGGUGUCUUGAGUGUGAGAGAGGUAUGUGGAACUCCGAGUGUAGAGGUGAAAUUCGUAGAUAUUCGGAAGAACACCAGUGGCGAAGGCGACAUACUGGCUCAUUACUGACGCUGAGGCUCGAAAGCGUGGGGAGCAAACAGGAUUAGAUACCCUGGUAGUCCACGCCGUAAACGAUGAUUGCUAGUUGUCGGGAUGCAUGCAUUUCGGUGACGCAGCUAACGCAUUAAGCAAUCCGCCUGGGGAGUACGGUCGCAAGAUUAAAACUCAAAGGAAUUGACGGGGUCAUAGCUGUUUCCUG